rnacentral:lncRNA from 1 species
GAAAUACAAGAAAACAAUCACAAACCAAAGCUGAGGCCAGCAGGGACAAGGCACCGCAGCGUGUUUUUGGCUGCUUCUUUCUUCUCUGUCUUCUCCUGGCAGAGUGCAGCUUCCCCUUUGCUGACCAGACAGCACUGACCAUCGGCCUCGAGAGAUCUGGACUCCUUUAGCCCAAGUCGCUUCUAGUUGCUGUUGACACAUUCACCACCUGCUUCCUGCUCUGCCAGAGCCACUCCAGGGAGGGCGUGAUGGGGAAGAAGAGCUCUGGUCCCUCCUGUCUGCACGCAGUCCCAGAACAAUGCUCAGCAGAGUAGCCAUAGUCAAUCUUCGUUCAAUGAAUCUACAUGGAUACACACCAGCUGUCACCGGUUAUUAUGAAAGGGAAAUCUUUGGUAGCCACCAACCAUCCUGUGCAAACUCCAGACCAACUACUUCCUCCUUCCAGGAUCCCUGACCAUUGAGUUGGCGCCCUCUGCUGUCCGUUGGCUGGUACUGCAAAGGACUGUCCAUUCUCAGCCCUAAGGAACUGUGAAAAUUGAGCAGAGAACGAUGCCAGCCAUUGACCUCGUAGUAAACAGACCCAAACUUCCUCAUCAUGAUGACCUCCUGGGGUGGCUUUGGAUGCAGUCGGCUGCAAGCCCCGCCAGACACCAUGCACACCCACCAUGUCCCAUUCUGGGUGCGCUGAGAGAGUCUAAUGAUGAGAAAUCUUCAGAUGAC